AACCAUAGGCCAUGAAUCUGGUCUUGGGACACUGUCAGGUGGGCAGUUUGACUGGGGCGGUCGCCUCCCAAACGGUAACGGAGGCGCUCAAAGGUUCUCUCAGUACGGUCGGAAAUCGUACGUAGAGGGUAAAGGCAAAAGAGAGCUUGAUUGCAAGACAUACAGGUCGAGCAAGGAUGAAAAUCGGACUUAGUGAUCCG
rnacentral:rRNA from 1 species